rnacentral:tRNA from 1 species
GCGGGAGUAGCUCAGUGGUGUAGCAUCACCUUGCCAAGGUGAGGGUCGCGGGUUCAAAUCCCGUCUCCCGCU